rnacentral:rRNA from 1 species
AGUUUGAUCAUGGCUCAGAGAUGAAUGCUGGCGGCGUGCCUAACACAUGCAAGUCUAGCGGCAGCGAGGGGUGCUUGCACCCUGUCGGCGAGCGGCGAACAGGCUGAGUAACGCGUAAGAAUUUGCCCCAAAGUGAGGGAUAACUGCCCGAAAGGGUAGCGAAUACUGCAUAUGGUCUUUGGAUUAAGGGAUUUAUCCGCGUUGGGAGAAGCCUGCGUUGGAUUAAGUAGUUGGUAGGGUAAUGGCCUACCAAGCCGACGAUCCAUAGCUGGUCUGACAGGAUGAUCAGCCAGACUGGAACUGACACACGGUCCAGACUCCUACGGGAGGCAGCAGGUGAGGAAUCUUCCACAAUGGGCGAAAGCCUGAUGGAGCAACGCCGCGUGAAGGACGAAGGCCUUCGGGUUGUAAACUUCUUUUAUGAGUGAAGAAUAUGACGGUAACUCAUGGAUAAGCACCGGCUAACUACGUGCCAGCAGCCGCGGUCAUACGUAGGGUGCAAGCAUUAUCCGGAGUGACUGGGCGUAAAGAGUUGCGUAGGCGGUUUAAUAAAUGAAUAAUGAAACCUGGUGGCUCAACCAUACAGACUAUUAUUCAAACUGUUAAACUCGAGAAUGGUAGAGGUAACUGGAAUUUCUUGUGUAGGAGUGAAAUCCGUAGAUAUAAGAAGGAACACCGAUGGCGUAGGCAGGUUACUGGGCCAUUUCUGACGCUAAGGCACGAAAGCGUGGGGAGCGAACCGGAUUAGAUACCCGGGUAGUCCACGCCGUAAACGAUGGAUACUAGCUGUUGGAGGUAUCGACCCCUUCAGUAGCGAAGCUAACGCGUUAAGUAUCCCGCCUGUGGAGUACGGCCGCAAGGCUAAAACAUAAAGGAAUUGACGGGGACCCGCACAAGCGGUGGAUUAUGUUCUUUAAUUCGACGAUAACCGAAGAACCUUACCAGGGCUUGACAUCCAGGGAAGGUCUCUGAAAGUAGACUGUGCCUUUUGGAACCCUGUGACAGGUGAUGCAUGGCCGUCGUCAGCUCGUGUCGUGAGAUGUUAGGUUAAGUCCUUCAACGAGCGCAACCCUUGCAAGUAGUUGUAUUUUUCUACUUGGACUGCCCCGGUAACGGGGAGGAAGGAGGGGAUGAUGUCAGGUCAGUAUUUCCCUUACGUCCUGGGCUAGAAACGUAAUACAAUGGCUAGUACAAUGCGCAGCGAAGCCGCGAGGUGAAGCAAAUCGCAUCAAAGCUAGUCCCAGUUCGGAUUGGAGGCUGAAACUCGCCUCCAUGAAGUCGGAAUCGCUAGUAAUCGCAAAUCAGCAAGUUGCGGUGAAUACGUUCCCGGGUCUUGCACACACCGCCCGUC